CUAGCAACGUCACGCCUAAGCUUUGCUCCAGGUCCUUACCAAAAGAGACAGGCAAGGGGCUUGUGGACGAAGGCUAGCAUGUGAGUGGGGGCGUGCGGCUCAGCUCCCGCUUCUAGUCAGGCCGCAGGAUUUCGCGGUCCACCCAGAGCCCUCUCCCCGAGAACGAAGCGUUAAAGGACUGCGUUAACAUCCCCAUUUACAGAGGGGCAAACUGAACUCAGAAAGGAAGGCCCACCCCCAGUAGCCACAGCUUGUUCUUCCCUGUAUUCCCUGGAGGGAAGCAAACGCUCCGUCUCCCCGGGAGCAACCCCGGGCCUUGAGAGGAGGGAUGUAUUGCCGUCUUCCCGCCCCGACUGCGUAAGGAAAACCACCCAAGUUGCGAACUCCAAAUCAAGCCGCAGCCUGGUCCUGCCUGCUCUCCCAUCACCUAUCCUUCCGCUCAGUUCAGAAUAUUUGGGAAAUGCUUCCAGAUGCUCUCAUGGCAACAGCUGUGCUCUAGGGCACAGUGAUGGUUUGAGACCAGUGACUGGAGACUAUCUUUUGAACCUUCCCCCGAGUGCUGGACACAGCUGUCUUUGGAAGCCCUUCUUUGGGAAGAAGCACAGCCAGCAACAGGCUCGAGUGAGCAGUUUCCAGACCUGAGGAAAGAAGGAGGGAGAGACCCAUGGACUGGUGGGAAGACAACAGAACCCCCAAAGCUGCACUUCUCUGCCUGGAGUAUUGUGGCUCCCCUGCUUCCCAGUCACAGACCAGGCGGAAGCUGAGCUGAAGUUGGGGUGACUGCAGAAAUAGGCCUUUGUGCCACUUGAGUGCAGCCUUGGAGUUGGACCAGGAGGAGGGUGACCAGUGUGAAGAAGGUAUGGAGAGACCCAGGCUGUCCCUGCUUUACCGUAAACAAGCUCCCGCAUUCAGAUGAAGAGCACACAGCUGGACCAGCCAGGCAGAUGGAGGCUAAUCCCGUCCCUGGCUAUUCUGUGUGACCCUGAACAAGCAAUAGCCAUCUCUCUGGCCUCAGUGAGAUCUCUGUGAAUCAGGGGGAUCGUUCCAGGAGGAUUAAGCAUGUCACCUGUGUAAGGAAGCUGGCUAUGUACCUGGCCUGCAGCAGGGCCCUGAGCCACAGGCCUUUUUCUGGUUCUGGGCUUCUGGGAAGGUGACGUUGAGCUGAUCUCCAAGUUCUCCAGAGACUCCAGCUGGGACGGCUGCUGUCCACUUGCCUGGCCAUGGCUGAUGGCCCCCAGCAGCUGGAUCGCUGCCUCAGAACCCAGCUGCAGGGAGACAGCACUUCAGAACCUGCCCCGCAGAGCUGGCCUCACCAGCCACUGUAAGCUCUGUGAGAACAUAGAAUGCACCUGCCUUGGUCUCCACUGUCUUCCCAAAGUCUCCAAAAGGCCUGGCACUUAAAGGGUUCAAUAAAUGUCUGCUGAUUGCUUCUGUCCCAGGAAAAGAACUGUCGCAUUCUUUCCUUCUCCUUUUCCCCUCCAAUCCCUGGCACAUUCA